ACGAACGCUGGCGGCGUGCUUAACACAUGCAAGUCGAGCGGUAAGGCCCUUUCGGGGGUACACGAGCGGCGAACGGGUGAGUAACACGUGGGUGACCUGCCCUCAGCUCUGGGAUAAGCCUGGGAAACCGGGUCUAAUACUGGAUAUGGCUCCAUGACGCAUGUUGUGGGGUGGAAAGCCUUGUGCGGCUGAGGAUGGGCCCGCGGCCUAUCAGCUUGUUGGUGGGGUGANGGCCUACCAAGGCGACGACGGGUAGCCGGCCUGAGAGGGCGACCGGCCACACUGGGACUGAGACACGGCCCAGACUCCUACGGGAGGCAGCAGUGGGGAAUCUUGCGCAAUGGGCGAAAGCCUGACGCAGCGACGCCGCGUGAGGGAUGACGGCCUGGUU
rnacentral:rRNA from 1 species